AAAAAGACUUUGAUAGAGACAGUAAUUUAUCAGUAAAAAUCAAAGAGAGUCCGUUGAUGGUGAGAGCGGAUAUGAGUAGCUGAUAUAUGAAAAUCACUCUGGAGUUGCAACCCGAAGUAUUUUCGUAGGCGUUGACGGUAUCCUCCGUUAAAGGGAGCACAUAUAAAGGGUUAUUCCGAGUAUGCUGUUAAAGGUGGUUAAACGAAAAUUACAGGCUUUCGUCCUUUGC
rnacentral:ncRNA from 1 species